rnacentral:rRNA from 1 species
UGGGGAAUAUUGCACAAUGGGCGCAAGCCUGAUGCAGCCAUGCCGCGUGUGUGAAGAAGGCCUUCGGGUUGUAAAGCACUUUCAGCGAGGAGGAAGGUGGUGAGCUUAAUACGCUCAUCAAUUGACGUUACUCGCAGAAGAAGCACCGGCUAACUCCGUGCCAGCAGCCGCGGUAAUACGGAGGGUGCAAGCGUUAAUCGGAAUUACUGGGCGUAAAGCGCACGCAGGCGGUUUGUUAAGUCAGAUGUGAAAUCCCCGGGCUCAACCUGGGAACUGCAUUUGAAACUGGCAAGCUAGAGUCUCGUAGAGGGGGGUAGAAUUCCAGGUGUAGCGGUGAAAUGCGUAGAGAUCUGGAGGAAUACCGGUGGCGAAAGGCGGCCCCCUGGACGAAGACUGACGCUCAGGUGCGAAAGCGUGGGGAGCAAACGGGAUUAGAUACCCUGGUAGUCCACGCUGUAAAACGAUGUCGAUUUUGGAGGUUGUGCCCUUGAGGCGUGGCUUCCGGAGCUAACGCGUUAAAUCGACCGCCUGGGGAGUACGG